CUGGGGUGGUAGAGUAGGAAGCCGUUACUGGACAGGGUCACGUAUUUCUUCUUCCAUUCUUUGUUCAAGGAGUUGCCACUUCGCUUCAGUAGGAAGCUCUGGAGUACGGAAAGAGACAUGUCUGAACUCCAGUCCCCG